rnacentral:rRNA from 1 species
GACAGAGGAUGCAAGCGUUAUCCGGAAUGAUUGGGCGUAAAGCGUCUGUAGGUGGCUUUUUAAGUCCGCCGUCAAAUCCCAGGGCUCAACCCUGGACAGGCGGUGGAAACUACCAAGCUGGAGUACGGUAGGGGCAGAGGGAAUUUCCGGUGGAGCGGUGAAAUGCGUAGAGAUCGGGAGGAACACCUGUGGCGAAGGCGGCCCCCUGGGCCGGCCCUGACACUGAGACGCGAAGGCGUGGGGAGCGAACGGG